CUCUCUCUCUCUCUCUGCAACUGUAAACUACAAAAUCUACAAGAAUCAGAAGUUCAAAACCCAUAUAUUUCAGUUUAUCUAUCUGUCUGCAAGAAUUAAAAGUGCAAAACCCAUAUCGGAAACCCAUAUCUUUCAGUUUCCAUCGCCCGCUGUUCCAGUUCGGGUUCGCCGUUCGCAAGCUUAGGCCGCUGUCUCUCAACUCUCAAGCUUGCCCCUUUCUCUCUCUCUGCAACUGCUAACUUGGUUAGUAUUGAGCAUUAACAUUUAGAAAGAACAAGGUUCAAGAAACAUGCCUCCUUACUCAUCAGGUUUCUUAUCUGAAAGAAGAGUGUUGAUGGGAAUGGGUGGAGUUGGCAAAAAGAAAAUAGGUAUGUUUUUUUUGCCUAGCUAAUUGAAUUAUAUAAAUCCCCUUACCGUUACCGUUGGAGCAGUAAUGUUGGUUUUAAAAUGACCAAUUAUGAUAGGAAGUCUCUUUUCAAUUUAUCUUAUUAAAAUGUAUAUCUAUGCAAGAGAAUUACGUGAUUCUAGAUGAGGAUGUUAAUGUCAACGUUAUGAGGAUGUUGAUGUCAAUGUUGACUACGACGGAUGAUGCUGAUAGUAUGUUUAUGCACUCAAAUUAAGUCAAAGCACUUAGAAUUGAGGGAAAUUUAGAGUUGAAGACGUACCAUUGAACAUAGUGUCUAAUUCUUUUAGUUACAAGAAUCUUUGGUCACUUUUAGUUCGUGAAAUUCUAAAGCAAUGGUUGUAAUAUGAUCUACUUGGGCUCUCUUCUUUUUCAUUUCUCUAAACCCUAAUUUUAUUUGUGAAAAAGAAAAAGAAGACAAAGACUCCUCUAUGCGGUGAAGAUUGUGUGUAGACAGCGCCAACAAGACGGGAACGAAGAACUUCCCCCUCACUACUCGAUCCGAUACCCAUUUUCUCUUCCUGAACAAACGAACAGAGCAUAUCGGACCCAUAACAACAACCUCUUGCCAAAGCUCUUCCUAUCUCACCUAUGGGUCGAGAUCAGUCACAUACAGAGAACCACCGUACGGUGGUCGUCAUCCUCGUGGUGGUGAUAAUGAUGGUUUUGGCAUUAUUUUUUUUGUUUUCAAAUAACAAGGGCAAAAUUGAGAGAGAGAGAGAGAGAGCGUGUGUUGUGUGUGAGAGACUGAGAGGGGAAACUUUGUGAUGAAGACUCCGUUUUGUUUCGACGUAAAAUAUUCUUUUUGGAAAAUAUUUUUCUUUUUCAGGUAAAAUAUUUUUUUAUUUUUACUUUGUCCGUAGGUUGAGGUCGAGUGGGAGUGGGUUAAAAACAUGUAAAAUAAUUUGUCGAAAAUUGAUGGAUAAGUUAUUUUUGUUAAAUUUUAAAUUUUUUUUUUCUUCGUAAAUAUUUUAUGACAACUAAGUACCAAAAAAUAAAAAAUAAAUAUUUUCUGUCCAAACAAACGGAGCCGAAAUGUAAAGCAUUUUACGGGCACAGCAGUGCAGGGUUGUUACGGUUCAUGUUAUGGUUCACGUGGCAUAGAGGACAUUAACAAUUUUUUAGUAUUAUAAAAAUAAAAAUAAAAAAUUACUUUUCACUUUGUAUUAAUUUUUCCCUCCCCUCAAAUGUUACACAUAAAUUUUCAUUUAUUUAAUAGUUAAAUCUAAUACUAUUUCAUUCCUUUGAAAAAAGAAAAAAAAAAUUUGUAACUGGUAAGCCUUUUAAAUGUGGGAUAAUUACAUAUUAUAUCUCCUGUACAUUACAUACUCCUCGGUUCUCAUUCAU